rnacentral:rRNA from 1 species
CACGUAGGGGGCAAGCGUUGUCCGGAAUCAUUGGGCGUAAAGAGCUCGUAGGCGGCUCAGUAAGUCGGGUGUGAAACCUCCAGGCUCAACCUGGAGACGCCACCCGAUACUGCUGUGGCUAGAGUCCAGUAGGGGAGUGUGGAAUUCCCGGUGUGAGCGGUGAAAUGCGCAGAUAUCGGGAGGAACACCAGCGGCGAAGGCAGCUCGCUGGGACGUGACUGACGCUGAGACGCGAAAGCGUGGGGAGCAAACAGG